GAUCCUCGAGCAGUGUGUCGACCACAUCGAUGUGACGGAAUGGUUUGUCAGUGUGAUGUCGGAUACAUAACCAAUGCUCAGCUGAACAUUUGUGAGAAAGCCAGUCUCAUCGGAGAACCUUGCAACAAAACCAGAGAUUGUCUGCCAAGGCACUCCGUGUGUAACUCGAAGAAUCUGUGCGUGUGCCACCCCAAUUUCAGAGCCACAUCAGACAAUUUUUGGUGCAUUGGGACCGGUUACAAAGCACUCAGCGACAGUUGUACCACGGGCGAUAAGUGUGGGAUAGGAGCGGACUGUCAAUCCGGCAAAUGCGCAUGCGUCAAAUGGCACGCCCCUUGGGGCAAAGAAGAGAAGUGGUUCGGAAUUCCGGCGUCAAAGUUCAGUCAGUGUGAAAACACUAAUGCUACUCUGAACGAAUGUAACGGAACAACAUUUGCUCCACAAAGCCCGUUAUGUCAAGCAGACCAGGACUUCAUACUUCAGUGCACACUCGCCGGCGAUCCAACAAAACUGAAUGAGAAUAUAAAGCUACGAGUGAAUAAACUUGUAAAUUAACUCC